rnacentral:rRNA from 1 species
AUACAAUGGUCGGUACAGAGGGUUGCCAAAGCCGCGAGGUGGAGCCAAUCCCUUAAAGCCGAUCGUAGUCCGGAUCGUAGUCUGCAACUCGACUACGUGAAGUCGGAAUCGCUAGUAAUCGCAGAUCAGCAUGCUGCGGUGAAUACGUUCCCGGGUCUU